rnacentral:lncRNA from 1 species
CGCGCGACAACGUGGGCCGCUCUAGUCUCCAGGCGGCGGUGCUCAGUGGUCGGUUACUGAGGGGCCUUGUGGCAACAAGGUGACAUAGGACAAACAGCACUCAGGUGGGAGAAUUAAACAUCACAAUGCCCAGUGCCUGCUAGAUGAGAACUGAUUCCAGCAAUGCCGGUCACGCUCUGCUUACGCCUACAUCUGCACAGUUCUAGGCACUAGAACUACUUUAUGAGCAUAAUUCCUUGGACCAUAAUCGUCACCUGAGGAAGCCGCGUGAGACACCAGUCUUAG